CAAGAAUAAUCAAAUUUUCUAUGCAUUUUAAGCUCAAAGUAUAUCUUCUCCAAGUGUUUCUUUGUGUAACAAUAUUAAUAAAGUUUAGUUUGAUUCCAACGAUGUUCUAAUGAAGUUUAGUUUUGGUUAAACUUAGAACCGGGUACGGUUGACUGGAAGGAAUCAAGCCGAAAAAACUAGUAUUUUUUUUUGCACGAUUCAGUUCGGCUAAGUGAUUAUCCUCGAUAUUAAUCCUAUGCUGCAUCAAAGCCUCUUUGGAAUCUCUUAAAGAUGAACACAUCACAACGAAAAUCUAUAGGGUAACGUAAAUGUAGCCAUUCCAAGCUCCCAAACUAGCUCUUACAGAGGUAUGCGUUGCAACAACUCAAAUAAAAAUCUGAAAGAUAAAACGACGAAGACCCAAAAUAUAUAAAAAAAGGUUUUGGGGGAGAUGAUGGAUGAAGAGAAAGAAGAUGACCACCAAUACCGUAUCGAUGCAGCUUUUCUAUCCACAAGUUUCAGGGAUCCUAUCAUAAAGUAUAAAAUUAUAAGUAUUCCAAAAAUAUCAUCAUUACUGAAACAUAUUCAAAGAUGAUGAAUCAUCAGUACACGAACCUGCUGCUGCUACUGGCCAAUACUUCCCAAGAGCCGUUCUACAGCAGCGUUAACGUUUCCAUUGGUUGCAAGCAAAGCCCUUAUGUUCUCUGCGCUGUCAUAUAUAUAUAUAUAUAGAUUAUACUAUAUACCAUAAUAUUACAUAAAUAUUUUAAUAUUAAAACUUUCAAUGAAUUUUCAAAAACAUUUAUAAAUUAUAAACUUAUUAAAGAUUUCACAUUGAAAAUUUUGUUAUCGAUGAUUUAAAUAUUCAGUUAUAAAAUGAUAUGAAUGAUCAUAGAACUGUAUGAUUAUAAAUUCUCAUUUAAUAAAUGACUAUAUAAAAUAUACUAUUCUUAGAAAAAUAGGUUGGUCCAUCUUGACUUACAUUAUAUUUUUUAUUAAACUAACUAUCGAAUUGAUAAAUAAUCUACCAAAAUUGUUUUUCCACUUUCCUUAAUUAAAAGCUACCAAAUUACCUAAUAUGAUUAACGUAUAUAUGAAAAUUAAUUAUUAUGAAUAAUAAAUAUUUGAUAACAAUUUUGGUAUCUUAGUUCUUUUUUUUUAAAUUUUAUAUUAUUGAAAGAUAUUAAAAAAUCACAUUAAAUAUAUAAUAAAAACAUUUAUAUUUUUUCUUAUAUGUUAUAUUUGAAUUUUUCAAAACGUCUAUAUAUUAUUAGAAAUUUGAAUAUUCCCACUCUGAAAAUUUUGUGAUCAAUAGAUUAUUUUUUUGUUAUAAUAAGUUACAAAUGAUCAUAAAAUAUAACGCAUAUGAAUUUUUAUUUAAUAAAUAUUCAAACUAAAUAAUAUAUAUAUAUAUAAACACUAAUGAUUUAAAGCAACAAGAUUGGCUGAUCAAUUUAGUCGUCCAGUUGAAAUCUUUCAAAAGUAUGUGAAAGACUAAAGUCAAAGUAAAUAUGGAUUUAGAAUAGUAGUUAUAUUUUACUAACCAAAUACCGAAAAAAACUGAACCGAACCGAAACCAACCCGAUAUCCGGGUUGAACACCCGUAAUCUAAAUGAAGCCAAACUAUUGUUUUAUUCUCUAAAAUAUAAUAAAAAUAAUAACUUAAUUCCGCGCAAGGAGCGGGUCUUAUCCUAGUUAAGAGUAAAAAUAAUCAAAAAAAAAGAAUUUGACAUCGACCAAGAAUAAUCAAAUUUUCUAUGCAUUUUAAGCUCAAAGUAUAUCUUCUCCAAGUGUUUCUUUGUGUAACAAUAUUAAUAAAGUUUAGUUUGAUUCCAACGAUGUUCUAAUGAAGUUUAGUUUUGGUUAAACUUAGAACCGGGUACGGUUGACUGGAAGGAAUCAAGCCGAAAAAACUAGUAUUUUUUUUUGCACGAUUCAGUUCGGCUAAGUGAUUAUCCUCGAUAUUAAUCCUAUGCUGCAUCAAAGCCUCUUUGGAAUCUCUUAAAGAUGAACACAUCACAACGAAAAUCUAUAGGGUAACGUAAAUGUAGCCAUUCCAAGCUCCCAAACUAGCUCUUACAGAGGUAUGCGUUGCAACAACUCAAAUAAAAAUCUGAAAGAUAAAACGACGAAGACCCAAAAUAUAUAAAAAAAGGUUUUGGGGGGAGAUGAUGGAUGAAGAGAAAGAAGAUGACCACCAAUACCGUAUCGAUGCAGCUUUUCUAUCCACAAGUUUCAGGGAU
rnacentral:lncRNA from 1 species